CAGCAGCUGCGGGAAUACGGAGGGUGCAAGCGUUAAUCGGAAUUACUGGGCGUAAAGCGCACGCAGGCGGUCUGACAAGUCAGAUGUGAAAUCCCCGGGCUUAACCUGGGAACUGCAUUUGAAACUGUCAGGCUGGAGUCUUGUAGAGGGGGGUAGAAUUCCAGGUGUAGCGGUGAAAUGCGUAGAGAUCUGGAGGAAUACCGGUGGCGAAGGCGGCCCCCUGGACAAAGACUGACGCUCAGGUGCGAAAGCGUGGGGAGCAAACAGGAUUAGAUACCCCGGUAGUCCCUGUCUCUUAUAC
rnacentral:rRNA from 1 species